CAAAUAUGCCGAUUGUGUGUUAAUGAAUGCAGUAACUUCAGGCCGCUCUUCGAUGAUUUGGAAGUCUAUGAAAUUACUGUGCGAUAUUUUGAUCCAAUGUUUUUGAAACAGAAUGAUAUGCGUGUUUUAUGCUAUGAUUGUUGGUGUCACAUUGCCGAUUUCCACAAUUUCCAACAAACUGUUACCGUGGCACAGGAUAAACUC